UGUGAAAUUAUAGCUUUCCUUUAGGCAGG
rnacentral:piRNA from 1 species